AUUAUACUUCCUCCAUCCGAAAAUACUUGUCAUCAAAAUGGAUAAAAGAAGAUGUACCUAAACGUAUUUUAGUUCUAGAUACAUUUAUUUUAUUCAUUUCGAUGAUAAGUAUUUUCGGACGGAGGGAGUACUAC
rfam:Triticum aestivum genome assembly, contig: Triticum_aestivum_CS42_TGACv1_scaffold_223621_3B